GACGAACGCUGGCGGCGUGCCUAAUACAUGCAAGUCGAACGCUUUUUCUUUCACCGGAGCUUGCUCCACCGAAAGAARAGGAGUGGCGAACGGGUGAGUAACACGUGGGUAACCUGCCCAUCAGAAGGGGAUAACACUUGGAAACAGGUGCUAAUACCGUAUAACAGUAGAAACCGCAUGGUUUCUAUUUGAAAGGCGCUUUUGCGUCACUGAUGGAUGGACCCGCGGUGCAUUAGCUAGUUGGUGAGGUAACGGCUCACCAAGGCAACGAUGCAUAGCCGACCUGAGAGGGUGAUCGGCCACAUUGGGACUGAGACACGGCCCAAACUCCUACGGGAGGCAGCAGUAGGGAAUCUUCGGCAAUGGACGAAAGUCUGACCGAGCAACGCCGCGUGAGUGAAGAAGGUUUUCGGAUCGUAAAACUCUGUUGUUAGAGAAGAACAAGGAUGAGAGUAAAACGUUCAUCCCUUGACGGUAUCUAACCAGAAAGCCACGGCUAACUACGUGCCAGCAGCCGCGGUAAUACGUAGGUGGCAAGCGUUGUCCGGAUUUAUUGGGCGUAAAGCGAGCGCAGGCGGUUUCUUAAGUCUGAUGUGAAAGCCCCCGGCUCAACCGGGGAGGGUCAUUGGAAACUGGGAAACUUGAGUGCAGAAGAGGAGAGUGGAAUUCCAUGUGUAGCGGUGAAAUGCGUAGAUAUAUGGAGGAACACCAGUGGCGAAGGCGGCUCUCUGGUCUGUAACUGACGCUGAGGCUCGAAAGCGUGGGGAGCAAACAGGAUUAGAUACCCUGGUAGUCCACGCCGUAAACGAUGAGUGCUAAGUGUUGGAGGGUUUCCGCCCUUCAGUGCUGCAGCUAACGCAUUAAGCACUCCGCCUGGGGAGUACGACCGCAAGGUUGAAACUCAAAGGAAUUGACGGGGGCCCGCACAAGCGGUGGAGCAUGUGGUUUAAUUCGAAGCAACGCGAAGAACCUUACCAGGUCUUGACAUCCUUUGACCACUCUAGAGAUAGAGCUUCCCCUUCGGGGGCAAAGUGACAGGUGGUGCAUGGUUGUCGUCAGCUCGUGUCGUGAGAUGUUGGGUUAAGUCCCGCAACGAGCGCAACCCUUAUUGUUAGUUGCCAUCAUUUAGUUGGGCACUCUAGCGAGACUGCCGGUGACAAACCGGAGGA
rnacentral:rRNA from 1 species